rnacentral:lncRNA from 1 species
UGUGUGUGUGUGUGUGUGUGUGUGUCGGCAAAGGGAUAACACCUAGCUCAAUAUAUGGAUUGAACAUAGUAGUGGUUAAAUUUUGACCGGUGUGCAACAAGACACAAAUCAAACAGUUUGUUUGCUUGUUGUUAGCGCACGUCAGGUCAAUAUUUGGUCUAUGUUCACAAUAAUUUUAGGUGUCUACAUGGAUUGGAAAUUUUAGCUAGGUUUCCAUAAUUUGAACUAAAUAUAUAGUUAUAAUUGUCUAACUGCCAACAAACAUGAAAAACCAGCAGUAUAGAUUGUGUUCUACUAGAAGAGAGCUAGUGCCCAGAAAAAAUGAUCACUUCUAGUUACUUUUACAACUUCGGUACGAACAGACGAACUUGACAUUUGCUUCUCCAGAUCGUAUUUCUUGCUCGGAAAACUAUGAGGCCACCCCAAUGGGAACAAUGGAAACAUUAAACCACCAAUGGUACAAGAAAUAGUUUGAUUUCAUUUGUCAUAACAUUCAGAUAUUUAAAAUAUUCUGGAAACAGGGCACAAAUAAGAUGCUCUUCAGGUUAAAUUUUAGGUUAAAGUACUGCAUCCAAGCCAUCCAUCAUUGGCGGCAUAUAGUUCCGUCAGAUUAAUAUACACAAAAAACACAAGCGUGUGGUCACAUCAUCAGAAACUAAAAGCUCAAGCUUGAAAUAAGUAAUAGCAAGCAUGUCUAGCCUCACUUCUGCAUACAACAAUUUUCUACUUGUGUGUUGCUUAGAAAGUUACAAAGUUGUGUUUAUUAUCUGUACCUGCAAUUGGGCCUCUUGGGGAUGUACCCUUCUGCCUAGACGAUUUUCAAGUUGACAUUUUACAUGAUGAAGGAGAGACGCUUGAGCUGCAUACAUGAAGCCAUUAACAAACUAACAAUUGUGACUAAUUAAACAAGAAAAUCUGAGAUUUAUAUCAUACCCUACAUGGCCACAAAUUGUAGACACUGGGGUAUCAGUUUUCGGAGCCAAUAGAUCCACAUAGCUACCAGAAAUUCCACACAUAUUCAAUUCAAAAUCCCAGCAGAUAAGCACCAGAUUGUCCGACCAAC